CCUACGGGGGGCAGCAGUGAGGAAUAUUGGUCAAUGGGCGCGAGCCUGAACCAGCCAAGUCGCGUGAGGGAAGACGGUCCUAUGGAUUGUAAACCUCUUUUGUCGGGGAGCAAAAGACGCCACGCGUGGCGUUCCGAGAGUACCCGAAGAAAAAGCAUCGGCUAACUCCGUGCCAGCAGCCGCGGUAAUACGGAGGAUGCGAGCGUUAUCCGGAUUUAUUGGGUUUAAAGGGCGUGCAGCCGGAGAGACAAGUCAGAUGUGAAAUCCGCGGGCUCAACCCGCGAACUGCAUUUGAAACUGUUUCCCUUGAGUAUCGGAGAGGUCAUCGGAAUUCCUAGUGUAGCGGUGAAAUGCGUAGAUAUUAGGAAGAACACCAGUGGCGAAGGCGGAUGACUGGACGACAACUGACGGUGAGGCGCGAAAGCGUGGGGAGCAAACAGGAUUAGAUACCCGAGUAGUC
rnacentral:rRNA from 1 species